rnacentral:rRNA from 1 species
AUAAUGGGUCAGCGACUUAUAUUCUGUAGCAAGGUUAACCGAAUAGGGGAGCCGAAGGGAAACCGAGUCUUAACUGGGCGUUAAGUUGCAGGGUAUAGACCCGAAACCCGGUGAUCUAGCCAUGGGCAGGUUGAAGGUUGGGUAACACUAACUGGAGGACCGAACCGACUAAUGUUGAAAAAUUAGCGGAUGACUUGUGGCUGGGGGUGAAAGGCCAAUCAAACCGGGAGAUAGCUGGUUCUCCCCGAAAGCUAUUUAGGUAGCGCCUCGUGAAUUCAUCUCCGGGGGUAGAGCACUGUUUCGGCAAGGGGGUCAUCCCGACUUACCAACCCGAUGCAAACUGCGAAUACCGGAGAAUGUUAUCACGGGAGACACACGGCGGGUGCUAACGUCCGUCGUGAAGAGGGAAACAACCCAGACCGCCAGCUAAGGUCCCAAAGUCAUGGUUAAGUGGGAAACGAUGUGGGAAGGCCCAGACAGCCAGGAUGUUGGCUUAGAAGCAGCCAUCAUUUAAAGAAAGCGUAAUAGCUCACUGGUCGAGUCGGCCUGCGCGGAAGAUGUAACGGGGCUAAACCAUGCACCGAAGCUGCGGCAGCGACGCUGAUGCGUUGUUGGGUAGGGGAGCGUUCUGUAAGCCUGCGAAGGUGUGCUGUGAGGCAUGCUGGAGGUAUCAGAAGUGCGAAUGCUGACAUAAGUAACGAUAAAGCGGGUGAAAAGCCCGCUCGCCGGAAGACCAAGGGUUCCUGUCCAACGUUAAUCGGGGCAGGGUGAGUCGACCCCUAAGGCGAGGCCGAAAGGCGUAGUCGAUGGGAAACAGGU